UGUUCGUGCUUUUUAGGGGAAGACAGCUAGCUGGCUGUCUUUUCUCUGCCUUACUGUCAGGAAGGAUUUGGGGAUGUACAGUAUGAUGAAAUGAUGGCACUUUGCCAUUGGGUUGUGCUUGUGCUGAGAAAAUUGGAGUACUGCUUGUGCUGUCAUACUCCGUGCAAUUUGUAAAACUGAGAAGUGUACUCCUCGAGUCAUUUUCAUUUUGAAACUGAGAAGUGUACUACUGAUAAUUUAGACUGAAUGUUUUUACUGUACACUAAUGUUUUGGUCAAUGUCAUGCUGUUCCAUUUGAUUUGACACAUUAGUUAACUGAAUUUUGACACAGUGGUUAACUGAAUUUUAACCCAGUAGUUAACUGAAUUUAGUUAACAAACUAGAAAACAGAAAAGACUAGACUGCAUGGAGUAGUAACAAAUUCACUUAACAAACUAUACUGCAUUUAAUUUGAAUAAUACUCCAGCAAUAUACCACAUGAUUAUAAACUACAACAAUACAUUGGUUUAUACUCCAGCAGUUUUCAGAACCUGAACAUUUUUAGUUAGUAGUUCAAAACUACAGCAAUAUACUCCAUGAUUAUAAACUACUCCAUGUAUACUGAUCAUGGAGUAUUGUUUCAGAUCACUAUAAUAUGAAAAUUAUACUGAAAAUUCCACUAGGAUUGCACUAAUUUGUCAAACAGUUUCAUGGAAUCAGCAGCAUCCGUGGAUCAGGACGUUGGUGUUUCUACCGAGCCAAGGACCAGAUCAGGAGUCCAGGAUGGUGGGUGACGGCUGAGCCGUUUGUCAGAAUGGAUGGUGGUUCAUUCUGGAAACCCUGGCCGCCUCUCUCUUCAGCUGGUGCCCCCCUCAUCUAAUGGUCAAAAAAUCACGCUCGUUCUGCGCCGGUGGUUCCUGGUGAAAGAAAUGGAGGAUCCUAGCAUGGAGUUCCUUCUCGAUGCUGUAGACAGGUUCCCACUGUCAGAGCAGUUUGCCGACAGCCAUGAGCACCUAGGUCCAGUUCCUAUCGUCUUGUUGGCGAACAGCGGAGCGGGAAUUGCCGUCCCUGCUGACUCAAAUGCUGGGUCUGGUUGCAGUCAGCAGGUCGACGGCGACGGCGCUGAUACGGCGCGAGCUGGAGUGCGCUGUCGCCCGGAUUCAUCCCGGGCGAGGUGGGUGCAGUCCACUGACAGAGUCAAUCCGCAGGCCCCUGGGUGGACAAAAAGAUUACGGCUGGUCAGUGCGCCACCAGACCGGACACCAUGCCCUUUUCGAAUGAGUGCUAUGGAGCAGUCAAUUCGCAAAUACGCAGAGAAGUAGCGAAGAUGAGAAUGUAUGCCACCGUUCACAACAAUGCAGCCAAGCGAGAGAAAUGGAGCAGGGUUAAGUAUGAGGUGAACAUGACCCAAGGCCAAACAGAGUUUACAUGCGAAUGUGGCUACUUCGAGCACACUGGGAUGCUAUGCAGCCAUGUUUCGAGGGUCAUUGAUAUACUUCAUCUCAAGGAGAUCCCUGCAAAGCAUAUAGUGAAGCGGUGUACGAAGGACGCGAGGGGCAUACUUCCCAAACUUCUGGUUCAGUGCCAGAAGGAUAAUUCAGUUAACUUAUCAUUUCCGUGUAGGCACUCGACGGCUCGACGCUUUACCUGAAAGCCAUGGAGGUCGUGCGGAUGGGCGGUGCUAGUGCAGAAUCGUUCGAUCACAUGUUUGGUGGUCUGGAAGCUUUACUGGUGAGUGGCGCACCUUUAGCAGAGAAGAGGGCUGGUUUGGGUUUUGAGGACCGCAUGGCCGGAUUGACUCCUGGCACACUACCUGACAAUGGAGAGAUAGCGUAUGUUGAAGACCGCGGUGCUGAUCAAUGCAUUAGUGCUGGAAACUCUGUUGGUGUGAAUGCUCUCCAUGGUCUAACAGCUCCAGAAAAGCAGAGGUGGUCGGUAGACCAACAAAUAGCAGGGAGAAGGCAGCAUACGAGGGUCUGAGUAAGCAGACCAGAAGCAUACGAUCGACGCGAGGGGCACAAGCGGACUACCUGCCCUGAGAGGGGGGAUGCACCCAAGAAACCACAAGGCUGGGAAAUGCAAAAAUUGCGGUUUGGAAGGGCACCGCCGGACCACUUGCAGAAGGCACAUCUCGAAUUCAAAUUUCGAACUACUUGAGAUAUUAAAUGCAAGUACUGGUAAAACAGGUGGCAGAGUUGCACCGCGGUAAGCAGUACAAGAGUGAGUGACCGGCAGCCGCCUUGGUGCCUUUCACCAUUGUUGUACUUUCAAAACGUUUUGAAGCUAGCAGUACUUGCAAUGGCGCCUUCGUCUGUUGAAUCAGCAAGGAGUGGCACCACAAGGAUGUCUGAAGGCAGUGACUCCGUCGGAGAACUGGAGAUUCAGUCAUCUGCCUCUGCUUACAUGGAGUCGGCGUCGAGCGCUUGGAGUACAACACGUCUGCCGGCAGAAGGAGGCGAAGUGGGGGACGAGGGAGAGGUGAUCCAACGGGCCGGCUGUGGGAUUUGUGUGUUCAAGCAGGAGAUGGGCGAUAAAGUCGGCCAAGAUUUCGGUGAGGAAGGCUUCGGCGAUCAUGAUCCAGCUGCCAGCGCUGAGGUCUACCAGGACGGGGGCGAUUCUGAUGUGGAGAAUGGUUCCCAUGCAAUGGCCGCGGGGGAGGAAACUGAAUCCGCUGAAGAGGAGGAAGUGAUCAGCAGGGUAUCUAAACGGCGGCGUACUAUGGCAUCAAGGCAUCAAAUCGAAUGAAAUUUAUGCAAUUUUCUGAAUUUUCAAGGCAUGAACAACUCCCUUCGUGCCUGUCAGUUGUUCAUCCUUUGGGAUCAUGUAAUUGCGUGGUUAAGAAAAUUUGGUGUCGUUGCCUGUGUGCAUGGGACGGUUUCGCAAAAUGUUUAGAUGAUAACCUCUUUAUUUUUUUUAUGUUUCUGUAAUGACUGAUGUCAGGUGUUUGUUUGGAAAGUCAAGAAAAAAUAUGGUGACGAGGAA